rnacentral:misc_RNA from 1 species
UGUGUGUGUGUGUGUGUUUGUGACCUGAAAAAGCAAUGGCGGAGGUUUAUUCGUUGAUAAUAUUUGAAGGGUUUUUUUAGAAAUAUUUGAGGGGAAAAGGAAAUAAUUAAGAGUUGUAAAGAGAGUUUAUCAGGUGAUCAAGGUGUUGAAUUAGGCAAAGAAUGACGAGUUUACAGCUAUAAUUAGGUAAUUUUACUAGUUAUAUUUUCAUGUGAAUUUUAACAUUUGAUUCACUAUAAUUAGAGUGUAUAUAUUUUUCAGUAUUAUCUCUCGUUUUUAGUGACAAUUAUAUAUAUACCAAGAAAAUAAUGGAGGAAGAAAGGAGGAGGCCUUGAUGAGAACAAUUACUAUUGG